AAUACAUGUUUUGAUUUGUUUU
rnacentral:snRNA from 1 species